AGUGAACGCUGGCGGCAUGCCUAACACAUGCAAGUCGAACGGCAGCGCAGUCGUAGCAAUACGAUGGGCGGCGAGUGGGGGACGGGUGAGGAACACAUCGGAAUCUGCCCGGUUGUGGGGGAUAACGUAGGGAAACUUACGCUAAUACCGCAUACGAUCGAGAGAUGAAAGCGGGGGACCGUAAGGCCUCGCGCAGUCGGAUGAGCCGAUGUCGGAUUAGCUAGUUGGUGGGGUAAAGGCCUACCAAGGCGACGAUCCGUAGCUGGUCUGAGAGGAUGAUCAGCCACACUGGGACUGAGACACGGCCCAGACUCCUACGGGAGGCAGCAGUGGGGAAUAUUGGACAAUGGGGGCGAACCCUAGAUCCACGCAAUGCCGCCGUGUGUGAAGAAGGCCU
rnacentral:rRNA from 1 species